rnacentral:rRNA from 1 species
GACGAACGCUGGCGGCGUGCUUAACACAUGCAAGUCGAACGGAAAGGCCCUGCUUUUGUGGGGUGCUCGAGUGGCGAACGGGUGAGUAACACGUGAGUAACCUGCCCUUUACUUUGGGGUAACUUCAGGAAACUGGGGCUAAUACCGGAUAGGAGCUCCUGCUGCAUGGUGGGGGUUGGAAAGUUUCGGCGGUUGGGGAUGGACUCGCGGCUUGUCAGCUUGUUGGUGGGGUAGUGGCUUACCAAGGCUUUGACGGGUAGCCGGCCUGAGAGGGUGACCGGCCACAGUGGGACGGGGAUACGGCCCAGACUCAUACGGGAGGCAGCAGUGGGGAAUAUGGCACAAUGGGCGGAAGCCUGAUGCAGCAACGCCGCGUGCGGGAUGACGGCCUUCGGGUGGUAAACGGCUUUCGCCUGUGACGAAGCGUGAGUGACGGUAAUGGGUAAAGAAGCACCGGCUAACUACGU